rnacentral:rRNA from 1 species
AGUGGAUGGGGAGCAACCUAGUUGUGCGUGUGUAAAGGUAGUGCCAAGAAAAGCGAUGAUCAUGUUGAAAAUCAAUUCCCGGUACCCGAAACCGACACAGGUGGGCAAGUAGAGAAUACUAAGGGGCGCGAGGUAACUCUCUCCAAGGAACUCGGCAAAAUGACCCCGUAACUUAGGGAGAAGGGGUGCCACCGAGAGGUGGUCGCAGUGAAGAGGCCCAGGCGACUGUUUAGCAAAAACAUAGGUCUCUGCAAACUCGAAAGAGGAGGUAUAGGGGCUGACGCCUGCCCAGUGCCGGAAGGUUAAAGAAGUUGGUCAGUUUUAGGAUGAAGCUAGCGACUGAAGCCCCGGUGAACGGCGGCCGUAACUAUAACGGUCCUAAGGUAGCGAAAUUCCUUGUCGGGUAAGUUCCGACCCGCACGAAAGGCGUAACGAUCUGGGCGCUGUCUCGGAGAGAGGCUCGGCGAAAUAGGAUUGUCUGUGAAGAUACGGACUACCUGCAUUUGGACAGAAAGACCCUAUGAAGCUUUACUAUAGCUUGGUAUUGUGUUCGGGCUUCCUGUGCGCAGGAUAGGUGGGAGGCGUAGAAGGUAUUCUUGUGGGGAUACUGGAGCCAACGGUGAGAUACCACUCUCAGGAGGCUAGAAUUCUAACUUAAUUAAGGACAGUUUCAGGUGGGUAGUUUGACUGGGGCGGUCGCCUCCAAAAAGGUAACGGAGGCGUACAAAGGUUCCCUCAGACUGGUUGGAAAUCAGUCGAAGAGUGCAAAGGCAGAAGGGAGCUUGACUGCGAGAAGUACAGUUCGAGCAGGGUGGAAACACGGUCUUAGUGAUCCGACGGUGCUGUGUGGAAGGGCCGUCGCUCAACGGAUAAAAGUUACUCUAGGAUAACAGGCUGAUCUCCCCCAAGAGUUCACAUCGACGGGGAGGUUUGGCACCUCGAUGUCGGCUCAUCGCAACCUGGGGCGGAAGUACGUCCCAAGGGUUGGGCUGUUCGCCCAUUAAAGCGGUACGUGAGCUGGGUUCAGAACGUCGUGAGACAGUUCGGUCCAUAUCCGAUGUAGGCGUGAGAAUAUUGAGAGGAGCCUUCCUUAGUACGAGAGGACCGGGAAGGACGCACCGCUGGUGUACCUGUUAUGAUGCCAAUUGUAAACGCAGGGUAGCCAAGUGCGGAGAGGAUAACCGCUGAAAGCAUCUAAGUGGGAAGCCCACCUCAAGAUGAGUAUUCUGGUGUAAGGUCACGGGAAGACGACCCGUAAAUAGGCACGAGGUGGAAGUGCAGAGAUGUAUGAAGCCGAAGUGUACUAAUAGACCGUCGGCUUGACC